GUGAUGGUUGCAAGGUGGCAAAGAUAGUGGUAGGCGGUAGGAGAAGGCAAGGAGAGAGGAGGCUAGAAGGGCGCAAAGGAUAGAGAAGAAGAAGUCGGCGAGGUGUGUCAGGCUUAGGGUUAAGGUGAGAUAGUGUGAAAGGGAUGUGUACGGCGGUAUGGGCAGAGGAAGGGAGGAGUCAAACGGCAUUGGUGAAGGGAAGAGGAGAUGUAUGCCGUACCUUUUAAUGGUUCCUUCUCUAUGUUGAUCAUGAUCUACAAUUUAGAACUGGGGGAAGAGAGAAGAGUGGAGAGGAAAAUAGGAAGGGUGAGAUUUUUUAGGGUUUAGAAAAAAUGGAAGAGAAAAGGGUUGGGACAAAAAUCAAAGAGGGUAGAGUUUCUUAAAAAGGAGAUAAGGAAUUCGAUUUCAUUAAUUAAAAAAAUGGUAGAUCAAUAGUUUCAGUCAAGGUUUUAUGGUUCAAUGGAAGAAGGGAGCCCAUAUCAAAUAAUGAAGACGUAAUUGACAGAUGGGGCCCACACUCAACAAUAAAGGAGAGAUUGCCACGUGGCAAUCCUUUGGGGAUUAAUAUAUAGUGUAAUAUAGUAAUAGAUGGGGAUUAAUAUAUAGUAAUAGAUAGAUAAUAGACAAUAUAUAAUAGAUAUAUAUUAGGGUAGAAACGUAUAAAACUUAUUUGAACUAUAGAGUAUUGUGAUUUAGCUAUUUAGCCUUUCUAAAUUUUAAUUUUACUAUCUAACCUUUUAAUUUAUUUAAUUUUAGUCAAUCAACGACAAUUUGACUUAUAAGUUGCAAUCAAA
rnacentral:lncRNA from 1 species